rnacentral:lncRNA from 1 species
CACUGUAAAGGUUGAUGAAUGCAUUGCAGCUGCUGCAGCAGACUCCAGCGUGCUGAGCUGCCGGUGGACAGUUUUUUCCAGAUGGCACUGGGGUCACAAUGGCUCCCAGAGGGACCCCCAGGCGGCUGGUGGAGUGGCGCUCAUUGAACACCUUUUGGCACAGAUUGGUCUUAAAUUACCUCUGGCCUCAAUCCUUGGCGAGUGUCAUCACUACGUAUCAUACACAUUCCAGAACCAUCGUUGCACUGGAAAUUUUUUCCUGCACAACUCGACUUCAGACAUGCAACAAGUCGAGGGAAUGAUGGACCCACCGUGGUCGAGCUCAUGGUAACGAUGCUGCUGCUCACUCUGUGGUCUCCUUUACGACUGUCCGAAGUAGAGGCUCUCGUGUGCCGCUGCUUUGUCACUGGUGCUAGCAAUGGUUUAGAUCGGGC